UACGGAGGGUGCAAGCGUUAUCCGGAUUCACUGGGUUUAAAGGGUGCGUAGGUGGGGUAUUAAGUCAGUGGUGAAAUCUCCGGGCUCAACUCGGAAACUGCCAUUGAUACUAAUAGUCUUGAAUAUCGUGGAGGUAAGCGGAAUAUGUCAUGUAGCGGUGAAAUGCUUAGAUAUGACAUAGAACACCAAUUGCGAAGGCAGCUUACUACCCGAAUAUUGACACUGAGGCACGAAAGCGUGGGGAUCAAACAGG
rnacentral:rRNA from 1 species